rnacentral:lncRNA from 1 species
UCACGCCACUGAACUCCAGCCUGGGCAGCAAGAGCAAAACUCUGUCUCAAAAAAAAAAAAAGGAUUCUUGAAGGGGUAGUGGAGUUUCUGCACCUCAACAGAAUUCCCCCUUCUCCAGUGAAAAAAGUAUACAAGCAAAACCACGAAAAAGGUAGAUUUACAAAACUAUUCAAAUGUUUCUUAUUUGUAAUAGCAAAAAAGAACCAAAAUUCCCACCGACAAUAUCCUGGAACAGCACCCAACUUACAACAAGAAUAAGGAAUACUGCCACACCACUGCAGAGUGGCCUCUAGGAUCCCCUGUUAACUUAAAAAGAUUAAGGUAUGGAACAAAGUUUGUGACUAUUCUACCAAUGAACCAAGACAGAGGACAACCCAGAAGACUGCACAGGGAGAGCAGAGCUGGCACAGCUUGGAGUCAGGGUUGGGAGUCAGGUGUGGUCAAGACAUGAAGCUACUAACGUCUGCAUGGUCGAUAUCAUGGACAGCCUUAAAUACAGAAUUAAGGAGCUUGGAUUUUAACCUGUAUUCCGAGUUUAAAAAAAUACUGUUUCUGACAAGUACUCUCAGAUUUUGGGAGUGGAAUUUUUAUAAAAGAUAUUUUAAAGGCUGUAAUGCUCCCGCCCCCAAAUUUAAAACGUGUUCUAGUUUUGUCAGCUUAUCCAAGUCUCCAGCAUCUUGCGAGGUUCCCCUAUGAACCCAUGGAGUAUCCAUAUUUUUAACUACUUCAAUUUUGGUAUAGCAGCAUGGCAUGGCCCCAAGGUCCAUGAUCUUGCAUGUUCCUGCAUAAAUGCUCUCCUUUCAGAGCUCCAAGUGUCUGCAUUCAAACAGUGACUAUCCAACUUUUUAAUAGCUGUUUUUCGGCAGAAAGAUGACAUAACUUCUAUGAGCCUCAGUUUUCUUAUUUUUCAAAUGGGGAUUGGGACUGUAUUCAUUGAAAUAGUGCUGAGACCCCUUCCAUGCAUAAAAAUAAUGUGGUAUCUUCAGUGUAAGAUGAAAAAAAAGUCUUCCUUUUGGUUUUUGAAGGUCUUGGAGUUUAUUAUCUAUAUCAGGUUGAACACAUCACUUGGUUAUUAGAACGUUAGAUCAUGUCCACAAUCAGAGCUCCUAUUGGAUUAUUCCAAACCCUGAGUUGCAGACAACAUUAGACAUGACAAGGAAUUCAAGCAAAAGGGAAACAGAAAACACUGUGCUUUUUCAAUGAAUCCAAUGUAGGAAUUGAGCUCCACCUUUUUCAGGAAUAGCUGCAAUUGUGGAAUCAAACAGAAGUCCCUAAAUCUCUGCAGUUUUCUGCUUGAAUGUUUCAUUUUCUAGGUCUCAGUGUAAGUUUCUAUUAUUUUGUGCCCACAUGACCUGAAUGUGACCUGACCAUUUCUGAGUAUGAGGAAUUCAAUUUUAUUGUCCAGAUAUACAGAGAGAAACAAGUUCACUGUUGAUACAAAGAGCAAAAAUGUCAAGAGAAGAGGCACUGGUGUGCAUACGUCAGAUGCCCCACUCUGCAAAAAUCAAUAAUAUCUAAGUAAUAAGAUUCCUCGGGACAUGACCCUCCAGCCACAUUCAUCUGAAGAGAGUACAGAUGUGAGGGGGAAAACUCCUGAUAACAUGUGCUGUCCCAAAGGUUUGUGUGAGUGGAGGAUAAACUAAAGAUACGUGUUUGCUGCAGUUAAGUACAUCAUUUUCUGGCAUAGCAGAGAGUAGCCAGAUUCACAGCAGAAACGACAAAGUCAUUGACUCUAAAUUAGAGGACACUUAAGUUUAGCUCCUACAUUGCUACCUGCAUUCUCUUCACAAUUCACAAUCUAUUUCAUCACAGACAGAGGUGAGACUCAUCUUCAAUACUGUAUCUCACACAACACCCACUGCUCUGUAUCAAGGCUGUAAAGGCAGAAUUCCAUUUCUCAUGCAAAUGAGGGAAACAGGAAAAGAAUACACGUGUGUAAACGAUUUACAGAGAGAAACAGCAAGUUUACUCUUGAUAUGAAGACUAAAAAUAUCAAGGGGAGAUGCUGGUGUGCAUGUGUCAGAUGCCCCACACUAUAUGUCAACAAUAUCCAAGUAACAGGAUCCCUUGAGACAUGACCCCUCCAGCCACAGUCAUCUGAAUACAGUGCAAAUGUGAGGAAAAACCUUCUUGGUGGGUAGAAGAUAAGCAAAAAACAUGUGUUAGCAGCCAUUAAUUACAUCAUUUUCUGGCAUAAGAGAAAGCAACUAAAUUCAUGAUAGAAACAACAAAGUCAUUGACUUCAAAAAAAAAAGAACAAUGAAGUUUAGCUCCUAUAUUUGCUAACUGAAUUUUCUUCAUAAUUGAAAAUCCACUUCACAGGUAGAGGUGAAACUUAUCUUCAAUACUCGAUCUCACACAGCACCUGCUGCCUUGUAUCUAGGCAGUAAGGGCAGAAUUCUAUUUCUCUUGCAAAUGAGAAAAAAGGGAAAAGGAUUUCCAUUCACUUCACCCAUGUGCUCCUUAACUACUUAUGGCAUGCAUACAGUGGGCUGCAACUGUGCAGACAAUCAAACCCAUCACCUCUUUUCCUCAUCUUUCUCACAGUGACUCAUGACUCAUGGUAUGACCACACUCAUGGCUGGCUACAAAUGAGAGGAAAAAAGAAUGUCCUGAUAGUAGCAUGUGAGGAACUGCAUCAGGUAACCAUCUUUCCCCAAAAUUCACUCUCUUUCACACCAUUUCACAGCUAUCUUCCCUCCAUUAAUGGUUCUAUUCCACUGUCCCAUUCAAAGGUUAUCCCAGUGAGAAGAUCAAGGAUGGUCGCUGUCUGCCUUUUCUUCAUUGUUCCAGUUAGGUGGCAAAUGUUAUUUAUUCAAUUUUCUUAUUUCCUCUGGCAACAUUUCAUGCAUGUAUUGAGGAAGAGCUUAACAUAUACAUG